rnacentral:rRNA from 1 species
UCGAGAAUCUUCGGCAAUGGACGAAAGUCUGACCGAGCGACGCCGCGUGCGGGAUGAAGGCCUUCGGGUUGUAAACCGCUGUCGGAGGGGAACAAAUGUACGGGGGUACUCCCCUGUAUUUGAGUGAACCUAGGAGGAAGGGGAGGCUAAGCUCGUGCCAGCAGCCGCGGUAAGACGAGCUCCCCGAACGUUAUUCGGUAUCACUGGGCUUAAAGAGUUCGUAGGCGGUCUGGUAGGUGAGGUGUGAAAUUCCCCGGCUCAACCGGGGAACUGCGCUUCAAACCACCGGACUUGAGGGAGACAGAGGUGGGCGGAACAGAUGGUGGAGCGGUGAAAUGCGUUGAUAUCAUCUGGAACACCGGUGGCGAAAGCGGCCCACUGGGUCUUUUCUGACGCUGAGGAACGAAAGCUAGGGUAGCGAACG